rnacentral:lncRNA from 1 species
UUUAAAUAAAACCCAAAUUGCAGUUCUCUCCGAAACAAAACAUUCCGAAUUGUUGUUCUCUCCAAAACACAAAACCUCUGUUAUCUCCGAAUCAAAAUUAAAACCCAACCUCUGUUCGAUCUAUCCAAAACAAUAAAACCCAAAUUGCAGUUCUCUCCGAAACAACUAUUUAAAUAAAACCCAAAUUGCAGUUCUCUCCGAAACAAAACAUUCCGAAUUGUUGUUCUCUCCAAAACACAAAACCUCUGUUUUCUCCGAAUCAAAAUCAAAACCCAACCUCUGUUCGAUCUCUCCAAAACAUUUCGAAGUUGUUCGCUCAAAAAAAAAAACAAUCUCUGAAUCAAGUAACCUAGCUCGAAAAAAUCGAAUCAAGCAACUCGAAGACCAAGAAUCAACAUAUCUCGACUUCGAUUCGGUAAACCCUUAACUAUUAUCCAUCAACUCGUUCUGGGUUUUGACCUUGGGCGAUUUCUAGGUUUUAUGUGGUCCAUUUAAGUCUCUUUGCAAUUUGGGUUUUUUUAGAGGGUUUGUUCCUUAGGUUAUUUCAUCUUUCUCUCCCGUACGAACAUUGAAAUCUCUUUGUAUGCUCGAUAGCCAUUGCCAGUGUAUAAGAGGUACAAUUUUCUUAAUUAAUCAUUACACUUUUUUCCCCUCUCACUCCCUAGUUAGUUAUUUGCAGAAAUUUUUUAUUUUUAUUUUAUUAAUAAUCUUUCUCAAAAUUUCAGUUUACCUUUUUUUAUUCUUUCGAACUCAUAUUUUAUUAAUUUAUUUAGUGCUAUAAAAUUGUGUCUGAUUCUACUUUUUUCCAAUUGAUUUCUUAUUCGUGUG